AGAGUUUGAUCCUGGCUCAGGAUGAACGCUAGCUACAGGCUUAACACAUGCAAGUCGAGGGGCAUCAGUUUGGUUUGCUUGCAAACCAAAGCUGGCGACCGGCGCACGGGUGAGUAACACGUAUCCAACCUGCCUCAUACUCGGGGAUAGCCUUUCGAAAGAAAGAUUAAUAUCCGAUAGCAUAUAUUUCCCGCAUGGGUUUUAUAUUAAAGAAAUUCGGUAUGAGAUGGGGAUGCGUUCCAUUAGUUUGUUGGGGGGGUAACGGCCCACCAAGACUACGAUGGAUAGGGGUUCUGAGAGGAAGGUCCCCCACAUUGGAACUGAGACACGGUCCAAACUCCUACGGGAGGCAGCAGUGAGGAAUAUUGGUCAAUGGACGAGAGUCUGAACCAGCCAAGUAGCGUGAAGGAUGACUGCCCUAUGGGUUGUAAACUUCUUUUAUAAAGGAAUAAAGUCGGGUAUGGAUACCCGUUUGCAUGUACUUUAUGAAUAAGGAUCGGCUAACUCCGUGCCAGCAGCCGCGGUAAUACGGAGGAUCCGAGCGUUAUCCGGAUUUAUUGGGUUUAAAGGGAGCGUAGGCGGAUUGUUAAGUCAGUUGUGAAAGUUUGCGGCUCAACCGUAAAAUUGCAGUUGAUACUGGCAGUCUUGAGUACAGUAGAGGUGGGCGGAAUUCGUGGUGUAGCGGUGAAAUGCUUAGAUAUCACGAAGAACUCCGAUUGCGAAGGCAGCUCACUGGAGUGUAACUGACGCUGAUGCUCGAAAGUGUGGGUAUCAAACAGGAUUAGAUACCCUGGUAGUCCACACAGUAAACGAUGAAUACUCGCUGUUUGCGAUAUACAGUAAGCGGCCAAGCGAAAGCAUUAAGUAUUCCACCUGGGGAGUACGCCGGCAACGGUGAAACUCAAAGGAAU
rnacentral:rRNA from 1 species